rnacentral:rRNA from 1 species
GAUCCUGGCUCAGGACGAACGCUGGCGGCGUGCUUAACACAUGCAAGUCGAACGGACAGACAGAGAGCUUGCUCUCUUGAAGUUAGUGGCGAACGGGUGAGUAACGCGUAAUCAACCUGCCCUUCAGAGGGGGAUAACAACGGGAAACCGUUGCUAAUACCGCGUACGAUUCACAGGCGGCAUCGCUUGUGAAUGAAAGGUGGCCUCUAUAUAUAAGCUAUCGCUGAAGGAGGGGAUUGCG